GGGCAGUGUGGUCUAGGAAAAUUCAACUUGUCGCUGAUUUGUGCCUGAUGCCUGCUGUCCGUCAGCAGCCUCCCUUACAAUCUUUUUUUCUCUCUCUCCUUUUUUUUUCCUUGCCUUCUCCUUCUUCACUGAAGCCUAGGGGAGCCAGUAAAGAUUAAAUGUGCUUCUCAAAGGCAGCCACUUCAUGCUGCUAUGUCGAAAGGGCCAUUAUUAUUAUUAUAUUUUAAUGGUAAAAGAGAAAAGGAGAGAGGUUGAGCGAGCGAGAGAGAAGCUAGGUGUGAUGAUGACAGACUAGCUUUUCUGAGAGGAAAAGGAAAAGGGAAGGGAGAGAAAAAGGAGAGCCUCUGAGCUCAACGGAGGAUUGUGCCUGAGAAGAACCCACAGAGAUACAGUUAAGCUAAUGAUCUCGAGAGGAUAUCGUCCUGGAUAAGGGUGGAGCCUACGCCCAAAAACAAGAUUACCUGAAAGAGAAAAGAAAGGGGGAAAACACACAGAGAUACAGUCGGGGAGGCCACAUGAAGAUGGAGGCAGAGACAGGAGUGAUGAGCCUGCAAGCCAAGGAAUGCCAAGGGCUGCCAGCAGCCAUGAGAAGCUGAGAGACACAGAGAACGAGUCCUCUGCCAGAGCCUCCAGAAGGAACUAACCCUGUCAAUACCUUGAUUUCGGACUUCUGGACUCCAGAACUGUGAGAGAAUAUAUUUCUGUUGUUUUAAGCCAUUCAGUUUGUAGUAAUUGGUUACAAUAGCCAUGGGAAGCUAACAUAGGGUCCUUCAACAAUCAAAGCAAAAAAGAGGACCUAUUAGCACAUGGAGUGCAAAGGAGGAAGGAAUGACUGAGCUGUUUGAAAGUGCAGCGGGAUGUCAUGGGCAACCAGAACUCAGGUCCAAAUUCUGCCAGAACUCUCCCUCUGUGUUAGUCUAUUCUCACACUGCUAAUAAAGACAUACCUGAGACUGGCUGAUUUAUAAAGGAAAGAGGUUCAAUUGACUCACAGUUCUGCAGGGCUGCGGGGGGGACUCAGGAAACUUACAAUCAUGACAAAAGUGGAAGCAAACACAUCCUUCUUCACAUGGCAGCAAGGAGAAGUGCCGAGCCAAAGGAGGAAAAGCCCCUUAUAAAACCAUCAGAUUUCAUGAGAACUCACUCACUAUCAUGAGCACAGCAGCAUGGGGAUAACUGCCCCCACGAUUCAAUUACCUCCCACCAGGUCCCUACCAAGACACGUGGAGAUUAUGGGAAUUACAAUUCAAAAUGAGAUUUGGGUGGGGACACAGCCAAACCAUAUCGGUCUCUUUCCUCUCUGCUUCACUGUCAUUGAAAACUGGCAUUCUUCACUUGGCAGCAAACAUUGCUGCUAACAUCUUUUGAGUUUUUUAUUGUAUGGCUUCAAUCAUCUCAGACAUACUAACUUCCUUUCAUAUUUCCAAAUUAUCUGAAAGAAUCUUACUUUCCUAAUUUGGGUCAUGUCUCACCCUGAACUAACCAACAGAGGCUAAGCUGCCAGGAUCUUAUAAAAUAUGACAGCUCCUAAGGAAACCACUUGAAUGAGUGGAGGUGCUGGGCACCCAGGAGUCCAUCACAUGGGAUCUUUUCUGUCUGUGAUAUGAUAGCCAUUUUUUUAAGGACAACAGUGUGGCAUUUGCAAAGACAUUUGUUUUGUGGACAAGACAUGCAAGUGAAUCUGAGCUCUGCCAUUUACUGGAAGUGUGACAUUAGCAAGUCACUUGGCCUUUCUGAGCUUUCUUAUCUUGUAAAAAAUGAGGAUAGAUUGUUUGAUAAACACUCUACACCUAGAAGGAUCUCAAUAAUGUUUGUUAAUAAUGGUCAUAGAAGUAUAGAACUUAAAUGGACCUUAAAGACAGACAAGGUUAAUCACCUUAUUUUUGCAGAUGAGAUUUCAGAAUUUAAGUUGGUGAGAAAACCAGGACAAGAAUUUAGGUUACUUAACUACCAGAUUAGUGUUUCUUUGUUAUUUUAUAUGAUCUGCCCCCAUCCCUGUGGAUAUAAAAUAAGGUCUCAUCUGAAAGGUGUUAUUCAACUAAAGAAAAAGCAGCUUUCUUAGAACAGACACUGAUAUUAGGCUUUAGAUUAGAUAUUAACACAGGGAUAAAGGUGUCAAAAAAGAAAGACCAAAGAAUUGUGUUGGGAGUUAAAACGUGAAGGACACAGUCAAGUGCCUGCAAAAUCUUGCCAUUUUUGAGCCUAUAAACAGUAAUUACUUUGAGACAGCAUUCACACAAAUAAACUAUGAUGGGUUCAGACCCCUCUGAUUAUUAAGCCAUCUUGUUUACAUCCCUCUAUCCUGUGUUUCUUUUCCUUUGGCUAUCCUUAUUAUAUAAAUAAAAACAGUUAGGAAGAGCCUAUUUGCGUCAGUUUGACAAUGAGAAAAUCAGGAGAAAGGUUUUUCCUUCUUUGGGCCAAGCUUUGGUCCUUGUAAGAACAAUUGCUAAUAUGUCUAGUGACUAUAGUUCUGAUCAUUUUUAUGCUUAUAAAAGCCUGAUGCUGAAUGCCUAUGUUUUAAAAUUUUUAUAAGAUCAACUUUGCUUUCAGAUAACCCUCCUUCCUCCACCUCACAAAAACUCACAAGCUGCAACCCUUCUGAUGUCCACUCCCACACAAACCAGCUUCAGGCCUUUUUCAAGAUGUGACUGGAGUGAUUUGCACCCGGAUGCCUAGACUCGCCAUCUGCUCAAAGACUGCUCAGAAAGCCCUCCCAUGCAUUCCCCUGCUGCAUACCAGCCCACUCUGCCUGCAGCUGCUGUCUGCAGGACUUCAUAUCUAUGCCACACUGUGUAAAAGCUGUGCUUCAAGAAAUCACAAAAACAUUUUCCUGCACCUACUACACAGCCUGAGUGCGGCAUAAGUUGACCUUGCUUGCUAAGAAAUGGGGCAAGAAAUGCUUUUUUGUGUGUGUCAUGUCUGUUUGUUUUUCAAUUAAGAGAGGAAAGCAUUAGGCAGAUGGAAUGUACAUGUGAGGAUGAGGAGACAGAAAACAAGUAGCCCUUUCCAUCAAGAUAGAGGGUUUUCUGGGGUUGCUGGCUAUUGAAUGUCACUCCUGAUUUCUCUUUCCAAGGCACUGUACCACCAGCCUACUGAGAU
ensembl:lncRNA MIR100HG mir-100-let-7a-2-mir-125b-1 cluster host gene